GUGGAGGGCUCUGGGUCAACGCCUCAGUAAGGCUUGGGAACAGGCCUUGUCAUGUCUGAAGGCCUGGCAGCCCUCAAAUGCCAAAUAGUAGGUCACAGAAUGGUUUCUCUGUGACCCCUGACCCCGUAUUUGGAUUAAAGGGUAGCCAAAGUAGGCCUGGCUUAGGCCCAUCUGGGGAUUGGGCUGAGAAUCCAGAGGAAGGAAGGCCUGAGGCUCUGGUCCCCAGGUAGAUUCCGGGCUCCUCCAGGUCGCAGCUGGACAGCGCUCUGAGGCCUGGCCCACGGGGGGAGUCUGUCCAGCUCCUCGGCAGGCAAGGUGGCAGGAGCAUUUCUCCUAGCCCCUGUGCGGUGCCUGUGGUAAUGGGGCUGUUGGCGUUUUGCAAUGGGCCGGGGGUGGGGAGGCAGUGCACACAUGCUUCCUGUGGUGACUGAGCGCUUCCUGUUUUCUCAGGCGCCGGCCUUGCUGCUGCCGAUGUGGAAAGAGGGGCAGCUGCAGCCAGGGCGGCUCCAGGCUGGGCACCCUGACCCUGCCCAGAGGAGCCUAAGUGGGCCCACAACCCCCCAGGCCCCAGACCUGGGCAGUAGAUGGCCUGAGUUCGCCCCACAUGAAGCCCCUACCCCUCCCUUCCCCAACAGCUUCCACCAAGGGGAAGGGGCCAGGCAGGGCAGAGCAGUGGUCCAGGAGGCCAAAGGUCCAGGGGUGAGAGCUCCAGGCUGGGAGUCAGGGCACGUGGCUCUGGGCUCGGCUUUGUCUGGAGCUGAGCGCCGCUGGCCACCUCUCACCCACUCAGGCCUCUUUUUCUUUUUCUGGCACCAGGAGGUGGAAUCCUA
rnacentral:lncRNA from 1 species